CGGAUCAGUAAUACCGUAUACGCCCUUUGGGGGAAAGAUUUAUCGGAGAAGGAUCGGCCCGCGUUAGAUUAGGUAGUUGGUGGGGUAACGGCCUACCAAGCCUACGAUCUAUAGCUGGUUUUAGAGGAUGAUCAGCAACACUGGGACUGAGACACGGCCCAGACUCCUACGGGAGGCAGCAGUGGGGAAUCUUAGACAAUGGGGGCAACCCUGAUCUAGCCAUGCCGCGUGAGUGAUGAAGGCCUUAGGGUCGUAAAGCUCUUUCGCCUGUGAUGAUAAUGACAGUAGCAGGUAAAGAAACCCCGGCUAACUCCGUGCCAGCAGCCGCGGUAAUACGGAGGGGGUUAGCGUCGUUCGGAAUUACUGGGCGUA
rnacentral:rRNA from 1 species